rnacentral:rRNA from 1 species
GACGAACGCUGGCGGCGUGCUUAACACAUGCAAGUCGAACGGAAAGGCCCUGCUUUUGUGGGGUGCUCGAGUGGCGAACGGGUGAGUAACACGUGAGUAACCUGCCCUUGACUUUGGGAUAACUUCAGGAAACUGGGGCUAAUACCGGAUAGGAGCUCCUGCUGCAUGGUGGGGGUUGGAAAGUUUCGGCGGUUGGGGAUGGACUCGCGGCUUAUCAGCUUGUUGGUGGGGUAGUGGCUUACCAAGGCUUUGACGGGUAGCCGGCCUGAGAGGGUGACCGGCGACAUUGGGACUGAGAUACGGCCCAGACUCCUACGGGAGGCAGCAGUGGGGAAUAUUGCACAAUGGGCGGAAGCCUGAUGCAGCGACGCCGCGUGCGGGAUGACGGCCUUCGGGUUGUAAAACGCUUUCGCCUGUGACGAAGCGUGAGUGACGGUAAUGGGUAAAGAAGCACCGGCUAACUACGUG